rnacentral:rRNA from 1 species
UACGUAGGGUGCAAGCGUUAAUCGGAAUUAGCUGGGCGUAAAGCGUGCGCAGGCGGUUUUGUAAAGUCGUGUCGUGAAAUCCCCCGGGCUCAACCUCGAACUUGCGGGUGGGUACGGGCAGACUAGAGUGUGGUAGGGGAGACGUGGAAUUCCUGGUGUAGCGGUGAAAUGCGCAGAUAUCGGGAAGAACACCCGUGGCGAAGGCGGCUCUCUGGGACGGUACUGACGCUGAGACGCGAAAGCGUGGGGAGCGAACAGAUAG